CAUACUCUCUCACACACACAAACAUAUACACACAUUUCCACACACAUCCAGAUUCAACACAGCUAGGUAGAUAUACUGUCUGUCUGGUCUGUAAUUUACUGUGUUAGACCUCAUUAAGUGCUAUAAUAUCAUGGGGAGAUAUACUGUCUGUAGGUCUGUAAUUUACUGUGUUAGACCUCAUUAAGUGCUAUAAUAUCAUGGGGAGAUAUACUGUCUGUAGGUCUGUAAUUUACUUUGUUAGACCUCAUUAAGUGCUAUAAUAUCAUGGGGAGAUAUACUGUCUGUAGGUCUGUAAUUUACUGUGUUAGACCUCAUUAAGUGCUAUAAUAUCAUGGGGAGAUAUACUGUCUGUAGGUCUGUAAUUUACUGUGUUAGACCUCAUUAAGUGCUAUAAUAUCAUGGGGAGAUAUACUGUCUGUAG